CCGCCGCCGCGCCCCGCCGCCCCGCCCGGGACGCUCCUCCGAGCUGGGGGCGAGGGGCGCCGGAAGAGCCCGCGAUUUCGCCUCUGCGGUCCGGGAGGGGGUGGGGGCGAAGGGGAAAGAAAUAAAUUAAUAAUUCAGUACCCAAGCCGACCCGCUGCCAAAUGCAGCGGAUCCAGGCAGGUGCCGGUCGAGGCGUCCCCUCCUUCAGAUAAUUGCUACCUACUGGGCUCGGCUUAUCCGGUUUUAUUUGUUUUUGAUGUAUUUUGGGUACACGGAGGCUGGUAUCCUGUUCAGAAUCUUAGAGAAAGGCGAGGAAAGGAAAUGCACCCCCUACACCACCCAUUUACCGAUAUCGGCUAAGCUGCCUCCUGUUGAGCGCACAUGAAAUCAGAACACUGUGAAAGUGGCCAUGCCCCAGUGUGGACAUUUCUUUUUGAAAUCUGUCGGAUAAGUAAGCUUCC
rnacentral:lncRNA from 1 species